rnacentral:lncRNA from 10 species
AGGUGGGGCCGGAGCUGCGGGGAGGGAGUUGGCGCCUAGCGCGCAGCUCCAUCCCCGCCUCUGCAGUGGACUCGGCCGCAGAAUCGGGGUCCCGGGCUCCUGGAACUUGUCCCGCCCAGGCCGCGGCGAGGAGGUCACUCCAGCCGAUCUCUGGACCGGAUUCGUCCCAUUCUCGUCCUCAUGGUGGACAAGAAACUGGUGGUGGUUUUCGGAGGCACAGAGAUAUGGUUUCACCAUGUUGCCCAGGCUGGUCUCAAACUCCUGAGCUCAAGAGAUCUGCGUGCCUCAGCCUCCCAAAGUGUCUGGAUUACAGGCAUGAGCCCCUGGGCCCAGCUGCAACGCGCAAAAUCUUAAGGGUGCCCAGGGUGGCUCCGUGGCCCGCACACUCCUGGAAGAUGGGACAUUCAAGGUUCGAGUGGUGACCCGAAACC